AAAUUGAAGAGUUUGAUCAUGGCUCAGAUUGAACGCUGGCGGCAGGCCUAACACAUGCAAGUCGAACGGUAACAGGAAGCAGCUUGCUGCUUCGCUGACGAGUGGCGGACGGGUGAGUAAUGUCUGGGAAACUGCCUGAUGGAGGGGGAUAACUACUGGAAACGGUGGCUAAUACCGCAUAACGUCGCAAGACCAAAGAGGGGGACCUUCGGGCCUCUUGCCAUCAGAUGUGCCCAGAUGGGAUUAGCUUGUUGGUGAGGUAACGGCUCACCAAGGCGACGAUCCCUAGCUGGUCUGAGAGGAUGACCAGCCACACUGGAACUGAGACACGGUCCAGACUCCUACGGGAGGCAGCAGUGGGGAAUAUUGCACAAUGGGCGCAAGCCUGAUGCAGCCAUGCCGCGUGUAUGAAGAAGGCCUUCGGGUUGUAAAGUACUUUCAGCGGGGAGGAAGGUGUUGUGGUU
rnacentral:rRNA from 1 species